CCUACGGGAGGCAGCAGUGAGGAAUAUUGGUCAAUGGCCGUAAGGCUGAACCAGCCAAGUCGCGUGAAGGAAGCAGGAUCUAUGGUUUUUAAACUUCUUUUAUAGCGGAAUAAAGGUAUCCACGGGUGGAUACUAGCAUGUACCCUAUGUAUAAGCAUCGGCUAACUCCGUGCCAGGAGCCGCGGUAAUACGGAGGAUGCGAGCGUUAUGCGGAUUUAUUGGGGUUAAAGGGUGCGUAGGUUGUUUUUUAAGUCAGCUGUGAAAGUUGGUGGCUCAACCAUAAAAUUGCCGUUGAGACUGGAAGACGUGAGUGUGUUUGAGGUAGGCGGAAUGCGUGGUGUAGCGGUGAAAUGCAUAGAUAUCACGCAGAAUUCCGAUUGCGAAGGCAGCUUACUAAGCCAUAACUGACACUGAAGCACGAAAGCGUGGGGAUCAAACAGGAUUAGAUACCCUUGUAGUC
rnacentral:rRNA from 1 species